UGCUCAGAUUUGAGGUUAGUCACCAGGGCU
rnacentral:piRNA from 1 species